AUUGAACGCUGGCGGCAGGCCUAACACAUGCAAGUCGAGCGGAUGAAGGGAGCUUGCUCCUGUAUUCAGCGGCGGACGGGUGAGUAAUGCCUAGGAAUCUGCCUGGUAGUGGGGGAUAACGUCCGGAAACGGGCGCUAAUACCGCAUACGUCCUGAGGGAGAAAGCGGGGGAUCUUCGGACCUCACGCUAUCAGAUGAGCCUAGGUCGGAUUAGCUAGUUGGUGGGGUAAAGGCCUACCAAGGCGACGAUCCGUAACUGGUCUGAGAGGAUGAUCAGUCACACUGGAACUGAGACACGGUCCAGACUCCUACGGGAGGCAGCAGUGGGGAAUAUUGGACAAUGGGCGAAAGCCUGAUCCAGCCAUGCCGCGUGUGUGAAGAAGGUCUUCGGAUUGUAAAGCACUUUAAGUUGGGAGGAAGGGCAGUAAGUUAAUACCUUGCUGUUUUGACGUUACCAACAGAAUAAGCACCGGCUAACUUCGUG
rnacentral:rRNA from 1 species